AUGGCACCCUGUGCAGAGGAACCCUCUGAGCCUGCUGCCUUGCCACCUGCUGGGCUUCCCCCGUUUGAGGACAUCGAAGUGCUGAAUGGGGUUGAAGGUACAGAUGCUGAGGAGGAAGAGGAAGAAGAGGAGAAUGACUUGAGUGAGCUGUCACCACUGGAAGACAUGGGAUAGUCCCCAGUAGAGGAGGCCAAGCAGCUGGGGGCACUGGCCCAAGAGUUUCUGGCCUCUGUGGAGCCUGUACCUGCACCACUCCCAGCCCCGGAAGAGUGACUGGACAUUCUGAGGAAUAGGCUGCUCAGGAAGAAGACACUGGUCCCAGCCCCUCCGGACUCCAGCUGCCUGACCAAGUGCCAGGUGGUGACAGUGCAGCUGCAGAUGUCACUGGAGAAUGGCACACGGGUGCAGGAGAAGCCUGAGCUGGCCUUCACUCUGGGAUGUCAUCCAGGCCCUGGACCUCAGUGUUCCCCUCAUGGAUGUGGGUGAGAUGGCCAUGGUCACUGCUGACUCCAAGUACUGCUACAGCCCCCAGGAGAGCAGGAGUCCCUACAUCCCCCUGCAUGCAGCGCUGUGCCUGGACGUGACCCUGAAGACAGCAGUGGAUGGACCUGACCUGGAGCUGCUCACAGGCCAGGAGCACGUGGCACUGGCCAAUCGGAAGCAUGAGUGCAGCAAUGCCCACUAUCAGUGCACAGACUUCAUGCUGGCUGCCAACUCCUAUGACCUGGCCAUCAAAGCUAUCAUCUCCAGCGCCAAAAUGGACAUGACUUUUGAGGAGGAGGAGAAGCUGGUGCAGCUGAAGGUCAAGUUUCUCAACAACCUGGCGGCCUCACAGCUAGAGUUAGACCCCUACCACGCCACCCUGUGCUCUGGCAGCCUGGUGCUUGAGCACCAAACUGAGGACAUCAAGGCGCUUUUCUGCAAGGGCAAGGUGCUGGCGCAGCAAGGUGAGUACAACGAGGCCAUCCCCAUCCUGAGGGCAGCGCUGAAGCUGGAGCCUCCCAACAAAACAAUCCACACUGAGCUUUCAAAGCUGCUGAAAAAGCACACAGUGCAGCGAAGAACAGAAACCGCCCUGUACUGGAAGAUGCUGGGCAACCCCAGCUGGCUGCCUGCCAAGUGUCCUGGCAAGGGUGCCUGGUCCAUCCCGUGGAAGUGGAUGUUUGGGGCGACUGCCAUUGCCCUGGGGGGCAUGGCUCUCUCUGUGGUCAUCGCUGCCAGGACCUGA